rnacentral:lncRNA from 1 species
GGACGGAAUUGUUGGUUUACAAUUUUUGACUUAUACUUUAAAUGUCAAUUUUGCUAAGAUGAACCUUUGAAUGAAUUUUCUUCAUAGGUAUUCUUUUUUUAUGACUGUGGGUGUUCGGGCCAACUUACGAGCACCUUGACUAAUCCCACGGGCCCUGUACUUUACAGCCGGGAUACUUACCUCAGUGGCCCUAAGAGGACUCAAACUAGUGACCAUUGAAGAGCAAACCCAAAGCAAGCUACCUCUUAGGGUUAAUGUUCUUCAUUGGUCAUAAACGAUGGCUUUAUUGGAAGACUCAUUUUUCAGAUACAGGACGGUAAUUUUUUUUAGUUUGUUUUUACUGUUUGAUUAUAAAUAUAAUUCAUUUUUAUAAUUUGUUUGUUGAUUUUUUUUUUUUUUUUUAAAAAAAUUGGGGGUUUCUGGAUGUUUACUGUUUUGAUGAUUGUAAUAGGAUUUGAAGUAGGCAACUAUAAAGGGAUUUGGAUUACCAACAGAGAGAUAUUCGUUUGAUUUGGGUGGCUCGUUAGUGGGUAAAUCUGUAGCAUAUGAAUUUGAUGUUCAAAUUGAUAAUAAAGUUCUUCCACUUAAGCUUAUGGAAUAUAGAGAAUGUGAACUAAUUGAAGCAAGUAGAUUUACCCAUUUUUUGAGUAGACAUGAGGAAAGUGAAUAGGUGGAAAGUCGGCGACUGGACCAUCAGAUGCUUGUCUUGGCGCCUGUUCCAGUUGGUUGGUCCAAUGAAAUUGUGGAUUCAGGAUACGAAGAAUAUAAGGAUUUCACUACUGGUAAGUUCAAGUUGCAAUGAUCUGUUUAUCUCCUAUUGUAUGUUUUCAAUGUUUGUGGCAUAUGUGGUAAUGAGUAUUGCAUAGCAAUCAACACUAUUAUGGUGAAAAAGAACUAAAUAUAACCUAAAAUUCUUGUUCAUUCUAAUAUCUCCUGUAAUCGUGUGUUACUGCGUGCAUACACAUGCACUUAUUGUAUUUGUUAAUCAUACCUUUUGGAUGCAUAUAGUUGAACCCUGAACCCUAAAGAAUGGGAGAAACGACAUUUUAUGAUCCAAUUACAGGCCAAGUGUUUGUGAUAUUCUACAGCUCCCAACUCCCUCGUGAACAGCUUCCAGAUCACAUGUUCUUUAGUUAAGUUCUAUAGUAAGCUACAUGCAACUUGUCUUUCAUCAUUGUCAACAUGGUAUGAUUUUUGACAAUUUGGGAACUAAACAUGGUAUGCAUUGUGACAAUUUAUGAUUUCUUGAUUUUUUUUCUCUCUUUUCUAGUUUAUUCCAUAUGUUUAAUUUCUUGUGUUUUGUGUGAAAAGUUUUUUUUUUUGGCUUCUCAUUGGUAUUUUAUGAGUAUAUCUUUGGAUUUCUAAGCAAGUUGUGGCUUUCAUGAAAGCCUUUGUUGAUAUGUAGAUACUUUCACAGAUUAUUGAUAUUGAUCUUCCUGUUAAUGAUGUCGAUUUUUUGAUUUGUAGUUUUUUGAUGGGUAUGGAUAUCAUAGAACACCAUUUGAGCAAACAUAAAGAUGUUACCCCACGUCUUUUAUUGACAAUGUUGGAAAACUUCCUUCAGCAACUUUGUUUAAAGUACUAAUUAUUUUUGGUAAUAAUGUCUUUAUUUUGAUUUUAUGUUAUAUUAAAUAGUGUACAUAUUUCAAUUACUUGCUUUCAAAACAUUUCGAUUUACUUUUCUUGUCAAACUUAAAGAUUUUUUAAUUUUCCUUCACUUUUCUUGGGCUGCCAGGAGUGAAUUUUGUUAUAUUUUUACUUUUUUCGGGUCAAUUUCACCACACGAGAUGGAAUAUGACCAUGUCUUUCGUGAAACUUACAGCUCGAGAUAAUCAACUUAAUAAAUUUUGGUGUAAUUCUGAUUUCUUCCAUCUCUUGCUUCUGCAGACACAGAUAGAAAAUGGUGACAAGGGUAAGAAAUCUAUAUUCGUCAAAAGUAGGCAGUCUAUUUAAAUAUUUCAUUGACAACAUAUAAUCUUAUUCCUCACUUCAUUAAUCCUGUACACUUCAUUCCAACAUAUCCUUGAAGGAUCAGAGGGGAUCGUUAUCUUGUGUUUGUAAUGAAGUGCAUAAAGGAUUAGAGUUUAUGAUGAAAUGAGACCGUUGCAAGGCAUAAAAGUGGUUUUUGAUUUCAUGAUAACUUUGGGUUUGUUCGUUUUUGGCGAAUUGCUAGUCUAAUUUGACUGAUGUAAGGCCAAUUUUGGGUAAAAUCCAUCGUUUAGGCCCUCGUUUAGGCGUUUUUGCUAUUUAUGAUAAUUUUUGUUUUUGCAAUAUCUCUUUCCAUAAAAUUUGGAUUUGAAUUUCGUUUGUUGGAGGAUGAUCCUGAAGAUAAGGAUUUUCCAUCUUAGCAGUUAUCUCAUAUUUUUCUAUUUUUUGAAAAAUAUAGUUUUUAUUCUAUUUUCUGAAUUUUGCUAGGUUGUUUUUCUAUUUAAAAGUGUUGUAAGCCCUUUGAGGCGGCGGUCUUGAAUUCAAUAAAAUUCCCUUGAGAGUUUUCUCAUUUUGUGAUUGUUCAUUUUUCCUAUGAUCUUUCGCUACGUCAGUUGGUAUCAGAGCCGAAAUUGUUCCUUCACCAUGCCGCUAAGGAGAUGUCUUGAAGCCCGUGAUGCCUCAGUAGAGAAGGUACAUAGAUGUGAUGAAAUCGCACAGUUAUGUCAACAAGUGGAAUUGCUGACACAGCAGAUCGCUACACUUAUGCAGCAGCAGCCUGCGCCUGUAGGCCAACAGCUUAAGGAUUCCGAUGAUGAGAAUCCGUUUGCACCGCUUGAACAACCAUUGGAUCUACCAGUUUGCUGGAGAAGGGGUGGUCAGGAAGACAAUUGACGUUGGGAAUCAGGAUUUAAGGUUGAUAUUCCAGAAUUUCAUGGUAGGUUGAGUCUAGAUGAAUUUUUGGAUUGGGUGACUGCAGUUGAGGAGAUCUUGGAGUCUAAAGAGGUUCCUACUAAUACAUGUGUGCCUCUCAUUGCGACGAGGAUUCGUGGGCGAGCAGUGGCAUGGUGGCAGCAGACUUAGGUGAUGAGAGCCAGGCUAGGGGAACCUAAGCUUGCAUCGUGGGCAAAUUGAAGAAGCAUAUGAAGAAACAGUUUUUGCCUUACAAUUAUGUGUGGACCAUAUACCAACAACCGCAGAAUCUGCGUCAAUGUGCGAAAAUGAUUAGUGAUUAUUCCACGAAUCUUUAUAUGCUGAUUACGAGGAACGAGAUGAUGGAGAUGGAGGAGCAGUUGGUGUCAUGGUACGUGGGUGGUCUUCGUCUCCAAAUACAGGAUACUCUCAAUAUGUUUGAUCCUGUAACAAUUUUUGAAGUACAUCAGAGGGCAAUACAGAAAGAGAAGCAAUAGUCCAGGAGAACUACUAGUCCUUUCAUUGCGGGGGAGUUCUUCCAGUAACCCACAACAGCAGGUGACACGUCCUAAUAAUCCUACUCAAUCUGGUAUUCCUAGAACAAAUCAUGUCCAACAACCAACACAUCCUGGGGUUCAUUGUUUUGGAUGCAGAGUUACAGGCCAUAGGCAGUCUGAGUGCCCCGAAAAUCCGUGCAGGGGACUCUUUGUUGAUGAGGGGAAUGGCGAUUAUGAAGGUCCGACUGUAUUUGACGGUGAAGGUGUAGAAGAAGCAACAGGAGAGGAAGAGUUUGUGGUUGGUGAUGUGGGUCAGGCACUGGUGCUGAGGAGGAGUUUCCUAACUCCCUUGGAGAAUAACACUGAUUGGUUCCCUAAUAAUAUUUUUCAAUCGACAUGUACAAUUGGAGGGAAGGUAUGUAAAUUUGUUAUUGAUUCUGGUAGUUAUGUGAAUGUGGUGGCUGAGGAGGUCGUUAAGAAGCUGGGUUUGCACAUUGAGAAAUAUCCCAAAUCAUAUAAAUUAGUGUGGCUGAAAAGAGGCAAUGACGUAGAAGUGUCUCAACGUGCUCGAAUCAGCUUCUCCAUUGGACCUACCUACAAGGAUCAGGUUUUAUGUGAUGUAGUAGAGAUGGAUACGUGUCAUUUACUGUUAGGAAGGCUAUGGCAGUUUGAAAGGCACUCACUGCAUGAUGGAUAUACCAGCACGUACAACUUUCUAUUUAGGAGAAAGAAAAUUGUGUUACUACCGAAUAAGGGUUCAGUACAAAUAGUUGGGAAGAACGCCAAUUUACUGACCAGAAAGAAGUUCGAGACAGAGAUGGAGGAGUCUGGGGUAGUGUAUAUGCUGGUUGGAAAGUCGAUUGAAAGUGAACAUCAAGUCCCUCUUGCAGUUCAGCCAUUGCUGAAGGAGUUUCAUGAAGUUUUCCCAGAAGAACUUCCAGAUGGAUUACCACCACUGCGGGAUAUUCAGCAUCAAAUUGACUUGGUACAUGUGCUAUCCUUCCUAACUGAGCGCAUUACAGAAUGAGCCCCACUGAGAAUGAGGAGUUGCAUAAGCAAGUUGCGGAGCUUCUGGCAAAAGGACACAUCAGGAAGAGUCUUAGUCCUUGUGUUGUUCCUGCUCUUCUCACGCCAAAGAAGGAUGGUACGUGGCGCAUGUACGUGGAUAGUAGGGCGAUCAAUAAGAUUACGGUGCGUUACCACUUUCCUAUUCCCCACCUGGAUGAUUUGUUGGACCAUCUUACCGGUGCUUGUGUGUUUAGCAAGCUCGAUUUGAAGAGUGGUUACCAUCAGAUUCAGAUCAGACGUGGGGAUGAGUGGAAGACCGCAUUUAAGACGAGGGAAGGAUUGUAUGAGUGGUUAGUCAUGCCCUUCGGCCUCUCAAAUGCACCCAGUACAUUUAUGCGGGGUUAUGAAUGAGGAUCUUCGCCCAUUCAUUGGUAAAUUUGUUGUGGUCUACUUUGACGAUAUUUUAAUUUAUAGUGCUAACGAUGAUGAUCAUGUCUAGCACCUUCGGGAAGUUCUUUCAGUUCUUCGCAGGGAUAAAUUCUAUGCUGCAGUGAAGAAGUGUUCAUUUCUUACUGAUAAUGUGGUGUUCCUGGGUUAUGUGGUGUCGAAGGCGGGGUUAGCAGUUGAUACAUCUAAAGUAGAGGCGAUAAGUAAGUGGCCACAGCCCAAGACUGUCACUGAGGUGCUAAGUUUUCAUGGGCUUGCUUCCUUCUAUCACAGGUUCAUACUAUAUUUUAGUAACAUCAUGGCACCAAUUACAGAUUGCAUGAAGGAUUGUAGGUUUCAGUGGAUUCACGAGGCAGAGUCGUCUUUCCAAUUGAUUAAGUAGAAGUUGACUACUGCUCCAUUUUUGGUGUGCCGGACUUUACCCAACCAUUUGAGCUACAUUGUGAUGCUUUGAAAGUGGGUAUUCGUGGUGUUCUGAGUCAGAACAACCGCCCUAUUGCAUAUUUUAGUGAGAAGCUUUCUGGCCUGAAGUCUCGGUAUAGUACUUAUGAUGUGGAGUUCUAUACAAUAGUCCAAGCCAUUCGACAUUGGCAUCACUAUUUGAUCCACAAGGAGUUCAUUUUGUAUAAGGAUCAUGACGCCCUUAAACACCUUGGUACUCAGGAUAAGGUAUCUGCUCAACAUGCCUCUUCGAUUGCUUACUUACAGUAGUUUACUUUUGUGAUCAAGUACAAGACAGAUGCCAUUAACAAAAUUGCAGAUGCAUUGAAUAGGCGCCAAACUUUCCUUAUGGAAAUGUGAGUGGAGGUUCCAGGUUUUGACAGUUUUUGUGACUUAUAUGCUACUGACCCAUUCUUUUCCCAUGUUAUUCAGAAGUUGCAGGAUGGUUUGCAGUUGGAGUUUGCAUGGGUUGAUGGUUAUCUUUUUCAUGGCAAUCCGUUGUGUAUUCCAGAGGGCAGUUUGAGGUUGAAGAUCAUUCAAGAGUUGCAUAAUAAGGGCCAUGUGGGUCGUGACCGAACAUUGCAACUUGUUGUUACUUCUUACUUUUGGCCAUCAUUGCGCAAAGAUGUCGGCAAGUUUGUGGAGCGUUGUCGGGUUUGUCACUUGGCCAAGGGCAAGGCGACAAAUGCGGGAUUGUAUAUGUCCUUGUCUAUUCCAACCCAGCCUUGGACAAACGUGAGCAUGGAUUUCGUUGCGGGACUCUCUAGGACUCAAUGUGGGUUUAAUUCGAUCUUAGUAGUGGUUGAUCGGUUUUCAAAGAUUGUGUAUUUCAUCCCCUGCAAGAAGACUACAGAUGCUAUCAAUGUGGCCUUAACUGUAUUUCCGUGAGGUUUAUCGCCUGCAUGGAUUGUCGACAUCUAUUGUGUCUGGUCGGGAUACUCAUUUCCUCAACUACUUUUGGCGCAGUUUAUGGUGCUCGGUGAAUACACAGUUGGACUUCAGCGGUGCAUAUCACCCUCAAAUAGAUGGUCAAACAAAGGUUGUUAAUCAUUCCUUGGGUGAUUUACUACAUUGGUUGGUUGGUGAUCACAUCAAGUCUUGGGAUCAGAAGUUGUGUCAAGCAGAAUUUGCUCACAAUCAUGCUUUUAACCGAAGUACAGGUUUUAGUCCAUUCCAGGUGGUGUAUGGACUUGUUCCACGUCAUCCUCUUGAUCUAGUUCCAGUUUCUACUUCUGUUAAAAUGCAUAGUAAGGUCGAAGACUUUAUUCAGCAAUUGCAGCAGGUUCACUCACAAGCUCAUGAUCAGUUGCAGGCUGCUAUCACUGAGUAUAAGCGUGCUGCGGAUCUUAAAUGCCGACAUGUUGAAUUUAGGUAGAUGACUUUGUUUGGAUGGUGUUAACAAAGGAUCGUGUUCCUGCUCAUGAAUACAACAAGCUUACUACAAAAAAGAUUGGUCCAUUGAAGGUCAUUGAGAAGAUCAAUCCGAAUGCUUAUCGUUUGAAGCUGCCCAACCAUAUUCGUACAUCCGACGUGUUCAAUAUCAAGCAUUUGGUGCCAUUUCGUGGUGAUAAUUCCGAUGAUGAUGAAGCUCCUUUCCUGUCAAAUUCGAGGGUGAAUUUUUCCCACCUUUGGGAGAAUGAUGAAGUGCAUAAGGGAUUAGAGUUUAUGAUGAAAUGGGACCGUCACAAGGCAUAAAAGUGGUUUUUGAUUUCAUGAUAACUUCGGGUUUGUUCGUUUUUGGCAAAUUGCUAGUCUAUUUCGAUUGGAAUCGAGCCAAUGAAUAAAUUUUUGGCAAAAUCCAAUGUUUAGGCCCUCGUUUAGGCGUUUUUGCUAUUUAUGGUAAUUUUUGUUUUUGCAAUAUCUCUUUCCAUAAAAUUCGGAUUUGAAUUCUGUUUGUUGGAGGAUGAUCCUGAAGAUAAGGACUUUCCAUCUUAGUACUUAUCUCAUAUUUUUCUAUUUUUGGAAAAAUAUAAUUUUUAUUCUAUUUUCCGAAUUUUGCUGUUUUUUUUCUAUUUAAAAGCCUUGUAAGCCCUUUGAGGUGACGGUCUUGAAUUCAAUAAAAUUCCUUUGAGAGUUUUCUCAUUUUGUGAUUGUUCAUCUUCCCUAUAAUCUUUCGCUACGUCAGUUUGCUUCCACAUUGCUUCACUUUUUUGUUCUUCAUAAUAUUUCUUAGGUCAUAAAUGAGAUGAUUAAUGGGGAAGCAGAUUAUUGUUUUGAAUGUGCUGGAAUGACUUCUUUGGUCGAAAGCACAUAUGCUGUUGCCGAACGAUUUUAUUCUGUCUUGAUUGGAGUCCUUUCUCUUUUAUGCACUGACUCUCACUCGGUAUAGGUUAGUGGGUCAUAAGCAUGACCACCUUAUAUGUCACAAUCAUACCAUUCUUUUCUUCUCUCAUUUAUAUAUGAGAUAAGAUGUCUAAAUGAUUUCUCAGUUAUAUUGAUAAGCGAAAGAUAUUUUAUGAAAAGUCAUUAAUUUUUAUCCCAUUCCAUUUACCCUCUUUUUCGUCUAACUUUAGGUUCAGGGUUGGGGCAAGACAGUGGUGCUAGGGGUGGACAAACCUAGAGGAGAGCUGAAAUUCAGUUCAUUUGAAGCUCAUUAUUCUGGGAUAACUUAAACAGGAUCAACUGUAUAUUUAAUUCUUGAGGAUAAAGAGAUAUAUAUUUUUUAGGUGCAUUAUAAUUGAUACAUAGCAUGUUUGCUGUACUCUUUUAUAUUUAGAUGUAACCAUGGUGAAUAGUUGUCAUUUGUGUUUCGAUAAAAUAUUUUGUAUUCAAUGUUACAUUGAUUAAG